rnacentral:rRNA from 1 species
CCUACGGGAGGCAGCAGUGGGGAAUUUUGGACAAUGGGCGCAAGCCUGAUCCAGCCAUGCCGCGUGCAGGAUGAAGGCCUUCGGGUUGUAAACUGCUUUUGUACGGAACGAAAAGACUCUGGUUAAUACCUGGGGUCCAUGACGGUACCGUAAGAAUAAGCACCGGCUAACUACGUGCCAGCAGCCGCGGUAAUACGUAGGGUGCGAGCGUUAAUCGGAAUUACUGGGCGUAAAGCGUGCGCAGGCGGUUAUAUAAGACAGAUGUGAAAUCCCCGGGCUCAACCUGGGAACUGCAUUUGUGACUGUAUAGCUAGAGUACGGCAGAGGGGGAUGGAAUUCCGCGUGUAGCAGUGAAAUGCGUAGAUAUGCGGAGGAACACCGAUGGCGAAGGCAAUCCCCUGGGCCUGUACUGACGCUCAUGCACGAAAGCGUGGGGAGCAAACAGGAUUAGAUACCCUGGUAGUCCACGCCCUAAACGAUGUCAACUGGUUGUUGGGUCUUCACUGACCCAGUAACGAAGCUAACGCGUGAAGUUGACCGCCUGGGGGNGGUACGGCCGCGAGUAGAACGUAAAGUAAGUUAGAGCGNGAGAGUGACGACGGACGACGACGAGGGAGGAGG